UGUAACACCAAGAAAAUAUUUGUUGGUGAUGAUAUAUCUCUUAGUGUUGAAGGAUCUGGAACAGUUCAAGUAGAAAAUGGUCAUUUCAAUGAUGUAUUAUGUGUUGGUUCAAAGGACUCAUCUAGUGAUGGAGUAGGACCAUGGGCAGGCAAGAGACAACCUGGCGAAAUGAAACAUCUUAGUAGCCAGAGGAAUAGAAGGAAAAAGUGAUUCUCGUAGUAGCGGCGAGCAAAAUGGGAGCAGCCUAAACCGUGAAAAUAGGGUUGUGGGAGAGCACAAUAUAAGCUCUGUGCUGCUAGGCGAAGUGGCUGAGUCCUGCACCCUAGAUGGUGAGAGUCCAGUAGCCAAAAGCAUAAUUGGCUUACACUCUAACCUGAGUAGCAUGGGGCACGUGGAAUCCCGUGUGAAUCAGCAAGGACCACCUUGUGAGGCUAAAUACUCCUGGGUGACCAAUAGCAAAGUAGUAUCGUGAGGGAAAGGUGAAAAGAACCCCCAUCAGGGAGUGAAAUAGAACAUGAAACCCUAAGCUCCCAAGCAGUGGGAGGAAAAUGAUAUCUCUGACCACAUGCAUGUUGAAGAAUGAGUUGGUGACUUAUAGGCAGUGGCUUGGUUAAGGGAACCCACCGGAGUUGUAGCGAGAGCGAGUCUUCAUGGGGAAAUUUUCACUGCUUAUGGACCCAAACUUGGGUGAUCUAUCCAUGACCAGGAUGAAUCUUGGGUGAAACUAAGUGGAGGUCUUAACUGACUGAUGUUGAAAAAUCAGUGGAUGAUUCGUGGUUAGGGGUGAAAUGCCACUCAAACCCAGAGCAGCGGUUAACUGAACCAUAUAGGGGUAAAGCACUGUUUCGGUACAGACCGCGAGAGCGGUACCAAAUCGAGGCAAACUCUUAAUACUAUAUUGCCCCAAUAAAAGGGGUAAAGGUCAUCCAAUGAGACAAUGGGGGAUAAGCUUCAUCAUAGAAAGGGGAAUAUCCCAGAUCAUCAGCUAAGGCCCCUAAAUGACCACUCAGUGAUUAAGGAAGUACGAGUGCAAAUAUAACCAAGAGGUUUGCCUAGAAGCAGCCAACAUUGAAAGAGUGUGUAAUAGCUCAUUGAUCGAGCACUCUUGUGCCGAAGAUGAACAGAACUAAGCGAUCUGUCGAAGUUGUGGUAUGUAAAAAUACAUCGGUAGGGGAGCGUUCUGCCUCAGAGGGAAGCACUAGCACGAGCAGGUGUGGAUGAAGCAGAAGUGAGAAUGUCGGCUUGAGUAAUGCAAACAUUGGUGAGAAUCUAAUGCCCCGAAAACCUAAGGGUUCCUCCAUAAGGUUCAUCCACGGAGGGUGAGUCAGGGCCUAAGACUAGGAUGAAAGGUGUAGUUGAUGGACAACAUGUUAAUAUUCCUGUACUACCCCUUGUUGGUCCCAAGGGACGGAGGAGGAUAGGUUAGACAAAAGAUGGUUAUCGGUUCAAGGACGCAAGGUGACCCUACUUUUUUCAGGCUAAGAAGGGAUAAAGAAAAUGCCUCUAGCCAAUGUCUGAGUACCAAGCGCUACAGCAUUGAAGUAACCCAUGCCAUACUCCUAGGAAAAGCUCAAACGACCUUUAAAAAACGGGUACCUGUGCCCAAAACCGACACAGGUAGGUAGGUAGAGAAUACCUAAGGGCACGAGCCAACUCUCUGUAAGGAACUCAGCAAAAUAGCCCCGUAACUUCAGGAGAAGGGGUGCCUCCUUAGGAGGUCGCAAUGACCAUGCCCGGGCGACUGUUUACCAAAAAAACAAAUCUCCACAAAGUCAUAAGACCAUGUAUGGGGGUUGACGCCUGCCUAGUGCCAGAAGGUUAAGGAAGUCACUGACCUGAUGACGAGGGGCCAGUGACCGAAGCCCCAGUGAACGACGGUCAUAACUAUAAUGGUCCUAAGGUAGCGAAAUUCAUUGUCGAGUAAUUUUCGACCCGCACGAAAGGUGUGACGAUAUGGGCAUUGUCUCGGAGAGAGACUCGGUGAAAUAGACAUGUAUGUGAAGAUGCAGACUAGCUACACCUAGACAGAAAGACCCUAUGAAGAUUUAUUGUUACCUGGGAUUGUCUUUGGUUUCUUCUUGAGAAGAUUAGGUGGAAUGCAAAGGAGGCUCCCUUCCGGGGGGGCCUAAGCCACCGGUGAGAUACCACUCUGGAAGAGCUAGAAUUAUAACCUUUUGUUAAGACCUAUGGGCCAAGGGACAGUCUCAGGUAGACAGUUUCUAUGGGGCGUAGGCCUCCCAAAAGGUAACAGAGGCGUGCAAAGGUUUCCUCCAGCCAGAUGGAAAUCAACCCUCGAGUGCAAAGGUAGAAGGGAGCUUGACCGCAAGACCCACCCAUCGAGCAGGGACAAAAUUCGGCCUUGGUGAUUCGACGGUGUCGAGUGGAAGGGUCAUUGCUCAAUGGAUAAAAGUUACUCUAGGGAUAACAGGCUGAUCUUCCCCAAGAUUUCACAUCGACGGGAAGGUUUGACACCUCGAUGUCUACUCUUCACCACAUGGGGCAGUAGUACGUUCCAAGGAUUGGGUUGUUCACCCAUUAAAGUGGUACGUGAGAUGGGUUCAAAACAUCGUGAGACAUUUCGGUCCAUAUCCGGCUCGGGCGUUAGAGCAUUGAGAGGACCUUUCCCUAGUACAAGAGGAUUGGGAAAGACGCACCUCUAGUGUAAUGCGAGAAGCAGUUGGUGAUCUUAUCAGUGAUCCUUCAGGUCAAUGUCAGACACAUUCACAGUUCCAACGAGCCUCUUCUCUUUUGGAUCAAGUUUCAGAGACUCAUGAUCCAGAGACAUUUGCAGAAGCUUUAGGUCAUCUAGAUUGGGAUACAAAA
rnacentral:rRNA from 1 species